GCCCCCGUAGUUCAACGGACAGAACGCGGACCUCCUAAGUCUGAAAUGCAGGUUCAAUUCCUGCCGGGGGCA
rnacentral:tRNA from 1 species